AUGGGCGGCCAAAACUGGAGGGUUCACCCGUUCCCAUUUCGAACACGGUAGUUAAGGCUCCAGAUGGUCUGGCCGGUACCUCCGCAUGAUCGCGGAGGGAACGCCAGAUAGCUGCCCACU
rnacentral:rRNA from 1 species